rnacentral:rRNA from 1 species
UACGUAGGUGGCAAGCGUUGUCCGGAUUUAUUGGGCGUAAAGAGCUCGUAGGCGGUUUGGCAAGUCGGGUGUGAAAACUCCGGCUCAACUCGGAGACGCCACUCGAUACUGCCAUGACUCGAGUCCGGUAGGGGAGUGGCGGAAUUCCUGGUGUAGCGGUGAAAUGCGCAGAUAUCAGGAGGAACACCGGUGGCGAAGGCGGCACUCUGGGCCGGUACUGACGCUGAGGAGCGAAAGCGUGGGGAGCGAACAGG